AUUGAACGCUGGCGGCAGGCUUAACACAUGCAAGUCGAGCGGGGGAAGGUAGCUUGCUACCGGACCUAGCGGCGGACGGGUGAGUAAUGCUUAGGGAUCUGCCUAUUAGUGGGGGACAACAUCUCGAAAGGGAUGCUAAUACCGCAUACGUCCUACGGGAGAAAGCAGGGGAUCUUCGGACCUUGCGCUAAUAGAUGAGCCUAAGUCGGAUUAGCUAGUUGGUGGGGUAAAGGCCUACCAAGGCGACGAUCUGUAGCGGGUCUGAGAGGAUGAUCCGCCACACUGGGACUGAGACACGGCCCAGACUCCUACGGGAGGCAGCAGUGGGGAAUAUUGGACAAUGGGGGGAACCCUGAUCCGGCCAUGCCGCGUGCGUGAAGAAGGCCUUAUGGUUGUAAAGCACUUUAAGCGAGGAGGAGGCUACUUUAGUUAAUACCUAGAGAUAGUGGACGUUACUCGCAGAAUAAGCACCGGCUAACUCUGUGCCAGCCGCCGCCGUAA
rnacentral:rRNA from 1 species